AGGCCCCCGCAGCCCUGGCUGUCACUGCAGAAGAAGCGCAGGGCUGGAAAACUGGCUGCGGAGGGCGUCGGGGCUGCCAAGCGCACGAGCUGGCGGCUCACACAGCAAUGGGAAAAGCCCUCACCUCCUUCACAUCGCGACUACAGGGCUGCUGGGUUCCCGUGGAGCUGCUCUCUCCCCAGCUUUCAGCAACCAAAGCGAUGCGAAAGAGGCUUUUCCAGUGGCCUGUGACAGCAGUGGGAGAGUUGGAGCUGCAGUGCUGCCAAGGGACGCAUGAAAAAAGCACUCAUUUUCCUAUGGAGACCAGCAACACUGAUGUGAGAAACAACAGAAAAAAAACCCAAGACAUGCCAGACCGUUAGAUCCUAAAAAGGAGCCAUGAGCAAAAUCUGGGGUGUGUGGAGAACACAUCUCAUGCACUGCUAGGUCUGGAGAAUUAGUCAGCGUUAUCCAUAGCAUAGGGAUGGAGGCAGCCUGUUAUCAGGCCGCAGGUUGAAAUCAAAAAAAGGAAAUAAUUUUGCACACAAGGCACAAUGAGAUUACGUCAUCAAAGCUGAAAAUUAAAUGAGUGCAAAGAAGAAUAGGAUGAAUGCAUAGAGAACUGGGGCUCCACAGCCAUUAAUUACGCAGAUCCAGAAGCAAUAGCUUGAUCACGUUCCCUAUGUCCCUGAUGGCUAGAAGAGAAGGAUCACGCCCUUUUGCUAAAUGUCCAUCUAAAUCCUUGCCCAUUUUGCAGCUGGAGACAAGCGCCAAUGCGCUGCCUGUCUGAUCUGACCUAGCAUGGCUCUUAUUAUAUUCUAGGAAAACAACAUGCUGGUGAAGCUUUAAGCCAAUAAGAAGUUUGGACAUGUUAGAAAACAUUGAUGAAAGCAGAAACAAACAAUAUAGAAUAUUAGCUCUUAGAAACAGUGCAGGAAGUAAACAAAGACUUAAUUUGGAAAAAGCGACUAAUACAUCUGGGAUGGAUCAUCCACCUCCCCCCCAGAUGUUCAAAGAUGGAGAAACCUCGAGGCAGUGGGAUGAAGAGGGUGAGCAGGAAUGCACCAUGCCACAGCAGCGAGAGUGAGAGGAAUGCGAAUGCGAGCCCCAUCCCUCUCUGUUGCUCCGUGGCUGAGGGUCACAGGCAACAAGGAGCCAAUCCCUCUGGAGCCAGUGGUGGAAAGCCUCGACCUGGUGUGUCUGUUUUAAUUCUGGCCAUAUUGUUACCAGAGGAAGAUUGGAAAAUCUGAGGGAAGUUCAAGCUAAGAGCCAUAAGAAUGAGCAAACUAGGGAGAGUAUGCGCUGAAAGAAAAAUGAUGAACCGUGACAAGUAUGUUUGCCUUGGCAGAGCUACAGCUGUGGCUGCACACAGAGCAUGCAGCCGCACAGCUUCACAAAUAAGGGGUGCAGCCCCCCCCCCCCCCCCUUCACCUGUUUUGGGGGUUUUCAGUGCCAGCAUGAUGCCAGUGGUGCUGCAUGGGGGGAAGGAGAGGGAAAAAAAGGACAGAGGACUGCAGCCACCCAGUGCACGACAGAGGAGAACAAGCUGCUUUGGGGAGGUCAGGGUGAAGCUAAAGCAAGGAAAGGCGGGGUUUGGGCACUAGCAGCCUUCCCGGGAGUGAGGCCACCUGUGUGAGUUGCCCAGAGCCUGGGAAGGACCACAGUGCUUUUACUUGCCAGGAGGGGAAGGUCCCUGCCCAUCCACGGGGAACUUCACAUCUAACCCAGAGGAACAGCAGGGAACUGGCAAGAGAGGAAAUCCCAUCUCUGGACUUUUCCAUGUUUAGUGCCAGGAGCUCCGCUCCACUAUUGGCAAGUUCUCGUCUUCUGGAAAACAGUGUAAAAACUUUUCUGGCAUCAGUUCAGAAGUCUUUAUUGUGAUAAAGAUACAGAGAUUUGUACGAGCAUCAAAACAAAGAUCCAUUUCAUCAGGGCCAAGCCGCAAAAAGAAAGCGUGUGGCCGGGGUGGCAGGGACUGUUGUCCUCAGUGUACCCCCCCAGCCCCUCCUGAACAGGCUGCUGAGCCCUGCGACGCAGCUGGCAGCCCCGCAGAGCCUGCACGUCCCCCUGGCGCAGAGCAUGGGAAGAACUGGGACAGCUGAGAAGGGGGCACCAUCCAGCUGAGAGCUGCUUUUGGAGAAGCUGGGGCAUCCCGGCCUGCAUCAACAUUGCAAAUCAGCCUCUCACUGCAGAGGCAAUGGCCCCACUUCCAAGAGCCUUCUUCCAAGCGGAGGCUCCACUGUGCUUUGCUGUAGGGCCAGAGAAAUCAGCUGUAGCCUGUGCACAGAGGAGAGCUGGCUGUGUUGGGGAGGAGAGUGAAGGGUGCUUAGAGCCUGUGGUGGGGACCGGCUGUUUUCUGCAAGAGGUGAGUGUGCUGCAGGCACCCAGGCUUUCUCUUCUGACUCCUGAAAAUCUCAGCCUCAUUGAUAGUUUUGCCUCAGACCUGACACUUGGGUGAACACGAGAGAGCUCGUGAAAGUCAUCAGUCCCAGAGACACCAGACUGCUCCCGCACCCUGCAAAGCUAUCAAAAACAGACCACUCAACAUUUGAACCCAAACCAGAGACACUCAUCCCACCUUGCUGCAGCACGUCUCAGGGCUUCCUGUGGCAAAAAAGACCAAGGUCUGGAGUCUUGGCAGCCCAGCGGAGCUCAUCAGUGAAUAAAUAUUUGCAAGGCAGGAACGCGUGGUGUUAACAGAUGCUUUAACCCAGAAGAGCAAAACUGUACAGGAGCCAGUGGCUGGAAAUUAAAGCCAGAAGCUAUCGAAUUAGAAAUAAGGCACAGAUAAUUAUCAGCGAGGCAGAUCAACUGCAUUAACAAGAGAAGUAAUGCCACAUUAUUACUGGCAUAUUUGGAAAUUCCCCCCGCUGUCAUUAAUGGUGUUCACGUACGCAUUGAGUGGCUCUGGAACACACAUUUGAGGUGGAUGCAGCUGGGUCAGAUGCAGCACAGAAGCAAAGAAAUGGAUGUUCAUUGAACUUGAACUCUUUGACCAAGGAUUUUGAGUAGCCUGCGUGGAUAAAAUCCUGCAAUAGCAGGAGAAAUGGGGAGAAAAAAAACAUAUGCUUUUCUGUGAAGGUUCACGUACAGCCAGUGAUAUGCAAGGGUCUCACCCUGAUAGGAUGCCUUCAGUCAACCAGUUCCUGGAGCCUCAGCCUGCUCAAGUGAUUUUUAAAUGGCAUGUCUGGUGUCACCUUAGAAAUUCUAGUUCUGGAGAGAUUCACUCAUAAAUGUGAUCUAAAAGUCAUAAGGUUUAAAAAUAAUGUAACAUAUUUUGUAUUGAUCUUAGUUCGGGGCCCUUAGGUUGCGCUCAAGUCGCAUUUACAAAUUUAAGAAAAACAAAACUCAAACCAAAAACCAAGAAGGAAGGCAGGAGGGAAUAAGCAAAAAUACCAGCUGAUCACCUACUCCAGACUCAAGAGCUAACAAUAUUAAUACCAUGGGACUUGCAAUAAAAAUACAAAACAUUGCUAAAGCUCUUCUCCCAGGUUCUAUAUUUGAGCUUUUCCUUUGGCAUAAACCCUUAGGAGGGACCAGAAAAGCAGACUGGCGCAGGCUUUCUCUCCACACCAGCUUCCACGUGGAGUUUCUGCAUCCAAUGGAUCUGCCAGUUCCAACAUCACAGGCAUGACUAAGCAGCUGCCAGAUCCCCAAGGAGGUCUCAGGAGAGGAGUUACCAUUCUGCAGGUUUCCACGCUGAUCAUGGGGAAGAAGGACACACCAGGUAAUAUGGGGAGCUUCUCCAGGGCAACUGCCCUGCUAUGAAUACUCUGUAUGCAAGGAAGGUGUGUGGCAAGCGGGGCUGACUGGCAGCUGAAGCAGCUCUGAUCACAUGCUCCUCCUGCAUGCCUUCCAGCCGUGACCAAAAAGUACUGAUAAUCUCUCAUCUACCUAUCUUUGCUGAGAACAACAGAAGGAAGACUCCGUCUCUAGUUGAAUUCCAACACCUCAGUGUAUUUGCAGAGAAAACAAAAACUGGUCAAUGGACAGUGUAGGGAAUUGUCAUUGGCGCAUUGAUCUGGAUCACUUGCUUGGGGGAAUAUUCUUGGAAUAGUACAAAUUUUAGUGGAGCCACAGGGAAGGCAAAGCGGCUCAUGUUGAGAGACAGUGAUGUAUGGUGCGAGACAGCGGCGAUUCUGGAAUGCAAUGACCAGGAAAAAAAGCCAAGUUGCAAUAGUCCAACUGGACAAAACAGCCCCAAAACUUUCUCAAAAGUGAGCAGGCCUGGCCCUGAGAUAUAUGAAUGGGGAACAUAGAGUAUAGAUCAAAACCAGAGGGUGUUACUUUUAUGUACACUAUUAGCAACUCUACUACCACUCGCUGCUGAAAACUUUGGUCUCCAAAUUUCAGAAAGAUGUGACAAUUUUCAAAGAAGUGGACUCAUGAGCUGCAAGUGAGGUCAGCACAGGGCACUUUAGAUUGAAGAUCAAUCUAUUUAAUAUGAUACAAUUGCAACUUGCAAGCACCAAGAAGGAAAAGGGAUUUUGAUAGCAGAGUUACUUAGUCUUUCUGAAAUGGGCAGAACAAGAUCCAACAGAAACUGAAGCCAGCUAAUUCAGAGCAAAAAUAAGACACAGAUUUUUGGAAGAAUAAUGAACUGACCAAAGAUCUUACCACAAGACAGGGUAGAUUUUUCCCUUACCUUUAGGUCCUUCAAUACAUUAUGGCUCCUACUUCCAGGCAUGAAAGAGAAAUAACUGGGAGACAUUUUCCAGCCUGCACUGUGCAGAGGGACAGGCUGGGAAAACAUGAAAACCACGAGCUCUGUAUCUGUCCUUGCUCGAAGGAGAAAGCUUUACUGGGGUUGUACUCCCUGAUCCCCUCUGCACCUUCUACAGCUUUGCUCGGGGAAACAGGUGAAGGUAUGUGUUUGCCAUGCCUUUCUCUCCACAAUAUCUGCUUUCUUUUGGCCUCCAGCAUUUAUAGGUCAUUAUGAGAAGAGAUUUCUGAGAUUUUGUGGGAGGUAGACAGGCACCAGUGGUUUCCAAGUGUUUUUAUAAAAAUGGAUUUCUGACUUACCUCUCUUCUUUUUUUGGAGCAAGGAAUGGAAAAUGGAAGAAAGUGAUUCAUAAACCUGAUCAGUAGCAUCACCCUAGCUGUGUGCUAGAAGAUGGGCUGCAGUAUGUGCACUCACAAGCCCUGGGUCUUAUGGUCAUGGGAUAAGCCUAAACCAUGAGGGAAGGAAAGGCAAAUUUUCACUGAUUUUGCUGGUGGAAAGAGUGGUUCAAUCUGUGCGUGCUCGUGCUGCUUAACUGCUGCCAGCUGUCUAUUUGUAAAAGAACAUGACUUAAUAAACAUUUUCCCUAGAUCA